UACACUCCUACGGGAGGCAGCAGUGGGGAAUUUUGGACAAUGGGCGAAAGCCUGAUCCAGCAAUGCCGCGUGAGUGAAGAAGGCCUUCGGGUUGUAAAGCUCUUUUGUCAGGGAAGAAACGGUGAAAGCUAAUAUCUUUUGCUAAUGACGGUACCUGAAGAAUAAGCACCGGCUAACUACGUGCCAGCAGCCGCGGUAAUACGUAGGGUGCAAGCGUUAAUCGGAAUUACUGGGCGUAAAGCGUGCGCAGGCGGUUUUGUAAGUCUGAUGUGAAAUCCCCGGGCUCAACCUGGGAAUUGCAUUGGAGACUGCAAGGCUAGAAUCUGGCAGAGGGGGGUAGAAUUCCACGUGGAGCAGUGAAAUGCGUAGAUAUGUGGAGGAACACCGAUGGCGAAGGCAGCCCCCUGGGUCAAGAUUGACGCUCAUGCACGAAAGCGUGGGGAGCAAACAGGAUUAGAUACCCGUGUAGUCCC
rnacentral:rRNA from 1 species